rnacentral:rRNA from 1 species
GACAGAGGGUGCAAACGUUGUUCGGAACUACUGGGCGUAAAGCGCGUGUAGGCGGCUCGGCAAGUCGGGUGUGAAAGCCCUGGGCUUAACCUAGGAAGUGCACUCGAAACUGCCAAGCUUGAGUUCUGGAGAGGAAGGCGGAAUUCUCGGUGUAGAGGUGAAAUUCGUAGAUAUCGAGAGGAACACCGGUGGCGAAGGCGGCCUUCUGGACAGCAACUGACGCUGAGACGCGAAAGCGUGGGGAUCAAACAGG